rnacentral:rRNA from 1 species
GUAAAAAGUAGAAUAAUAGAUUUGAAAUAUUUAUUAUAUAGAUUUAAAGAGAUAAUCAUGGAAUAUAAAAUUAUUAAAAAUAAUUUAAUAAUAACUAUUAAUAGGAUUAGGUUACUAAUAAAUUAAUAAUAAUUAAUUUAAAAACCUAAAGGUAAACCUUAUAUUAAUAAUAUAUAUAUUUAUAUUAUUAAUAAUAAUAAGAACUAAGUGAACUGAAACAUCUAAGUAACUUAAGGAAUAAAAAUCAACAGAGAUAUUAUGAGUAUUGGUGAGAGAAAAUAAUAAAGGUCUAAUAAGUAUUAUGUAAGAAUUAUGUAAGAAAAUAGGAUAACAAAUUCUAAGACUAAAUACUAUUAAUAAGUAUAAAAAGUACCGUAAGGGAAAGUAUGAAAAUGAUUAUUUUAUAAGCAAUCAUGGAUAUAAUUUUAAUAUUAAUGAUGUACCUUUUGUAUAAUGGGUCAGCAAGUAAUUAAUAUUAGUAAAACAAUAAAGUUAUAAAUAAAUAGAAAUAAUAUAUAUAUAUAUAUAAAAAAAUAUAUUAAAAUAUUUAAUUAAUAUUAAUUGACCCGAAAGCAAACGAUCUAACUAUGAUAAGAUGGGUAAACGAUCGAACAGGUUGAUGUUGCAAUAUCAUCUGAUUAAUUGUGGUUAGUAGUGAAAGACAAAUCUGGUUUGCAGAUAGCUGGUUUUCUAUGAAAUAUAUGUAAGUAUAGCCUUUAUAAAUAAUAAUUAUUAUAUAAUAUUUUAAUAAUAUUAUAUAAAGAAUGGUACAGCAAUUAAUAUAUAUUAGGGAACUAUAAAAGUUUUAUUAAUAAUAUUAAAUCUCGAAAUGUUUAAUUAUAUAUAAUAAAGAGUCAGAUUAUGUGCGAUAAGGUAAAUAAUCAAAAGGGAAACAGCCCAGAUUAAGAUAUAAAGUUCCUAAUAAAUAAUAAGUGAAAAAAAUAUUAAAAUAUUAUAAUAUAAUCAGUUAAUGGGUUUGACAAUAACCAUUUUUUAAUGAACAUGUAACAAUGCACUGAUUUAUAAAAAUAAAAUAAUAUUUAAAAUCAAAUAUAUAUUUAAUAUAUAUUUGUUAAUAGAUAAUAUACGGAUCUUAAUAAUAAAAAUUAUUUAAUUCCAAAAAUGGAAUAUCAUAUUAAAUUUAUAAAAAAAAAAAUAUGAAUACUGAAUAUCUAAAUAUUAUUAUUAAUAAUAAUAAUAAUAAUAUGGUAAUAGAACAUUUAAUGAUAAUAUAUAUUAGUUAUUAAUUAAUAUAUUAAUUAAUUAAAUAGAGAAUGCUGACAUGAGUAACGAAAAAAAGGUAUAAACCUUUUCACCUAAAACAUAAGGUUUAACUAUAAAAGUACGGCCCCUAAUUAAAUAAUAAGAAUAAAAAUAUAUUUAAGAUGGGAUAAUCUAUAUUAAUAAAAAAUUAUCUUAAAAUAUAUAUAUUAUUAUUAAUUAAUUAAUUAAUAAUAUAUAUAAUUAUAUUUAUAUAUUAUAUCUAUAUAUAUAUAUAUAUAUAAACUAAUAAAGAUCAGGAAAAGUAUUAAUGUAUACCGUAAUGUAGACCGACUCAGGUAUGUAAGUAGAGAAUAUGAAGGUGAAUUAGAGAAUUAAAGGGAAGGAACUCGGCAAAGAUAGCUCAUAAGUUAGUCAAUAAAGAGUAAUAAGAACAAAGUUGUACAACUGUUUACUAAAAACACCGCACUUUGCAGAAACGAUAAGUUUAAGUAUAAGGUGUGAACUCUGCUCCAUGCUUAAUAUAUAAAUUAAAUUAUUUAACGAUAAUUUAAUUAAAUUUAGGUAAAUAGCAGCCUUAUUAUGAGGGUUAUAAUGUAGCGAAAUUCCUUGGCCUAUAAUUGAGGUCCCGCAUGAAUGACGUAAUGAUACAACAACUGUCUCCCCUUUAAACUAAGUGAAAUUGAAAUCGUAGUGAAGAUGCUAUGUACCUUCAGCAAGACGGAAAGACCCUAUGCAGCUUUACUGUAAUUAGAUAGAUCGAAUUAUUGUUUAUUAUAUUCAGCAUAUUAAGUAAUCCUAUAAUUUUUUUAUAGGUAAUCGUUUAGAUAUUAAUGAGAUACUUAUUAUAAUAUAAUGAUAAUUCUAAUCUUAUAAAUAAUAAUUAAUUAAUUAAUUAAUUAUUAAUACUUAAUAGAUAUAAUUCUUAAGUAAUAUAUAAUAUAUUAUUAUAUGUAUUAUAUAUAUAUAUAUAAGAGACAAUCUCUAAUUGGUAGUUUUGAUGGGGCGUCAUUAUCAGCAAAAGUAUCUGAAUAAGUCCAUAAAUAAAUAUAUAAAAUUAUUGAAUAAGAAUAAUAUAUAUUAUAUAUAUUAAUUAUAAAUUGAAAUAUAUUUAUAUUUUUAAUGAAUAUAUUUUAGUAAUAGAUAAAAAUAUGUACAGUAAAAUUGUAAGGAAAACAAUAAUAACUUUCUAUUUAUUACAGGGUAAUAUAACGAAAGAGUAGAUAUUGUAAGUUAUGUUUGCCACCUCGAUGUCGACUCAACAUUUCCUCUUGGUUGUAAAAGCUAAGAAGGGUUUGACUGUUCGUCAAUUAAAAUGUUACGUGAGUUGGGUUAAAUACGAUGUGAAUCAGUAUGGUUCCUAUCUGCUGAAGGAAAUAUUAUCAAAUUAAAUCUCAUUAUUAGUACGCAAGGACCAUAAUGAAUCAACCCAUGGUGUAUCUAUUGAUAAUUUAAUAAUAUAUUUAUAAUAAAAUUUUUAUAAUAAAUAUAUUAUCUAUAUUAGUUUAUAUUUUUAUAUAAUUAUCAUAGUAGAUAAGCUAAGUUGAUAAUAAAUAAAUAUUGAAUACAUAUUAAAUAUGAAGUUGUUUUAAUAAGAUAAUUAAUCUGAUAAUUUUAUACUAAAAUUUAAUAAUUAUAGGUUUUAUAUAUUCUUUAUAUAUUAUAUUAAUAAUAUUAUAUAUAAUAUUAAUAAAAUACUAAUUUAUCAGUUAUCUAUAUAAUAUCUAAUCUAUUAUUCUAUAUACU